GCAUAUGAGUGAGUUCCUGAGAGAACUAGGUUGUUUAUGUUGAAAGGGGCAUGGCAGCCUACAAAUGAUUUUACUGAGCGUAAUAAUGUGAUUAGAUCAUGACGAUUGCAUUUUUGCUCUGCCACAAGGCUUCUUGUCAAGAUAUGAUGAUGUACUUAGCAUGAUCUCUUGACACUUGUUUUGAACCCAACGGUUACUAGUGUUCAACACGGUUUGCUUGAUUGUCUUGUAAGUGUGAAGGGAACCUACCCCUCUGCAACAUUUUUUU
rnacentral:lncRNA from 1 species